ACAGUAGCGACGACGCCAUU
rnacentral:miRNA from 1 species